rnacentral:rRNA from 1 species
GACAGAGGCCCCAAGCGUUAGGCGGAAUCACUGGGCUUAAAGCGUGUGUAGGCGGAUCGUUAAGUGUCUUGUGAAAUCCCACGGCUCACCCGUGGAACUGCUGGGCAUACUGGCGAUCUUGGGCCAACUAGGGGCAGCCGGAACAAGCGGUGGAGCGGUGAAAUGCGUAGAUAUCGCUUGGAACGCCGAAGGUGAAAACAGGCUGCUGGGGUUGUGCCGACGCUGAGACACGAAAGCCAGGGGAGCGAACGGG